rnacentral:rRNA from 1 species
UACGUAGGGUGCGAGCGUUGUCCGGAAUUAUUGGGCGUAAAGCGCACGUAGGCGGCUUUCUAAGUCGGGGGUGAAAUCCUGGAGCUCAACUCCAGAACUGCCUUCGAUACUGGAAGCUCGAGUCCGGGAGAGGUGAGUGGAACUGCGAGUGUAGAGGUGAAAUUCGUAGAUAUUCGCAAGAACACCAGUGGCGAAGGCGGCUCACUGGCCCGGUACUGACGCUGAGGUGCGAAAGCGUGGGGAGCAAACAGGG